rnacentral:rRNA from 1 species
GGGAACUGCCAAAAUACCCUAGAGGCAUCAAAUCCCAUCUGAUCCUGUAAGCUAAGCAGGAUCAGACCUGGUCAGUACUUGUAUAGGAAACCACCAAUUAAUACCAGGUGCUGAAGGCU